UACGACGGGGGCUAGCGUUGUCCGGAAUUAUUGGGCGUAAAGCGCGCGCCGGCGGUCCUUUAAGUCUGAUGUGAAAGCCCACGGCUCAACCGUGGAGGGUCAUUGGAAACUGGGGGACUUGAGUACAGAAGAGGAAAGCGGAAUUCCACGUGUAGCGGUGAAAUGCGUAGAGAUGUGGAGGAACACCAGUGGCGAAGGCGGCUUUCUGGUCUGUAACUGACGCUGAGGCGCGAAAGCUAGGGGAGCAAACGGG
rnacentral:rRNA from 1 species